AUUGAACGCUGGCGGCAGGCCUAACACAUGCAAGUCGAGCGAGCGGCGGACGGGUGAGUAAUGUCUGGGAAACUGCCUGAUGGAGGGGGAUAACUACUGGAAACGGUAGCUAAUACCGCAUACCAUCAGAUGUGCCCAGAUGGGAUUAGCUAGUAGGUGGGGUAACGGCUCACCUAGGCGACGAUCCCUAGCUGGUCUGCGAGGAUGACCAGCCGGACGUGAAUCAAGACACGGUCCAGACUCCUACGGAAGGCAGCAGUGGGGAAUAGUGCACAAUGGGCGCAAGCCUGAUGCAGCAAUGCCGCGUGUGUGAAGAAGGCCUGCGGGUUGUAAAGCACUUUCAGCGGGAAGGCGUUACCCGAAGAAGAAGCACGGGCUAACUCCGAGCCAGCCGCCGCGGUAAUUC
rnacentral:rRNA from 1 species